rnacentral:lncRNA from 1 species
GGUGCCUGGAGGAGUGGAGGGAUUGGAUUUACACCCUCUUUUCCCUCCGAAGCCUCCUUGGUGGGGGCGAAGAAAGACCAUCCAACCCUGCCAAAGGCAAAAGGAUUAAGGAUAAAUGAAAGCAAGAUAAUGUAGAAGAACUACUUAGCUGCUGGGUUUUUGGAGAUGAGUGAUUUUUUUUUGUAGGGAGAAAUUAUGAAACACAUUGAAAUGGACAAAAAAUUACUGAAUGUCUUCAAUGAAAAAACAGCCAUAGUUUGGCACACCGUCCCGGGCAUUCUGUUGCUAGAGGGGCUGUCCGCUUUUCUUUGUGGUGCUCUGCACAACUCGUUCCCUCUGGAAAGGCAUCAGGGGAGGCAUUUGGGAAAGCUGGCACUUUCCUUUUGCCCUUCACAUCACAUGAUUGAUUGGAAAAAUGGGAAAUGACAAGUGGCAUCAACAAGCGGGGCAAAGAGCUAGCCCAGUCAACCUACGAUGGGCCCCAUUCAAGGGGCACAGAGGGACAGAGGGACAGAAGGCUGAAGACUGGCUGGCUGGGGUGCAGCGAUGCUACAGAACGCCCCAUGGGACUUGGCAUGAAUAGGAAGCGUGGCCAGAGUUUUCCAGAGCAGGAAAUCAAGCUGGAGAGAAUACCUGGCUUGGCCCCAGGCCUCAUUGAACCCAGAACUGUCUACCACUUUCCAUUGCACCAAGCAGAGAAGAAGAGUGAGUGGGCUGGCUGGAGCAAGGUCUUGUUUUUCUGGAACCCAACCCAAGAGACCUUUGUGUGAGAACUGGAAGCCUCACACUUACAGCAAUGGCCAGGGACAGACCUGCAGUCCUUUCCAACCAGGCAACCCACCGUGGGGUCCUGGUGAAAACAGAGAGGUGUCCCCACCACCCGCACUGAUGAGCUUGCUCUCAAGACCUUCAGGCCAUAACCCCAACUGGGAGUGGGGAUGGGCCAAAGAGCUGACCAGGCACUGAGGAGGAGCCCGGAGGUGGAGGUCAGGAGCAGCUGGAAGAGCAGGAGGAGCCCGGAGGUGGAGGUCAGGAGCAGCUGGAAGAGCAGGAGGAGCCCAGAGGUGGAGGUCAGGAGCAGCUGGAAGAGCAGGAGGAUCCCGGAGGUGGAGGUCAGGAGCAGCUGGAAGAGCAGGAGGAGCCCAGAGGUGGAGGU